UAAUGUAGCAUUUCAUUAUUUUAUACGCUUUCAUGUAUUUUAAACGCGCUUCACUGCGCGCUCAGGUGAUUCAUUCAUGUUCACGCGCGCGGCAGGGGAGGGGGUCUCGUACCUGUGGGAGUGGGUGAAUCCGCCAUGUUUGUGCGGAUUGGAGUGGACGCCAGCAAAACAACGGAUUAUUUACCACGAGAUAUUAAUGUAUGGAGUCACGUCGAAAAAACAGUUCUGGUAAGCAUCGACGCACGUUUACAUUUGUAGUAUUUUUACUUAGCAGACGCUUAUCAAGGAACUUGUUAACUUCACGUGACUGCCAUGAACGCGGCUUUCUUGGCUGUCUGAAAACUUUCGGUAUGCUACUACAGCUAAUAAACGGACAAAAUCUUUUUCAUCUUUGAUCGAAGCAUUGUUAUGUGGAUCUCGAGUGUUUACACUGCACUAAACUUUGACGAGCAACACUCUGAGCUGAGGAAGAGGAUGAUGGCGGUCCUGCAUUCACGAGGAGAAAGAUCAGUAAUCAAGAGAAGCGUUAUCAUCGCUGAAGAAAUGGCAGAUUUUAAUCCCCAGACACAGAGCAGUGCAAGCCCUGAAGAAAUAACACCAUAGACAUCGUCUUCUGACUGAACUAGCAAGGAGCUGUUGGAGUCAUUGAGAAAGCUAGUGGAAUGUAAACCUGAGUAAACGCCACUACUUUAAUGAUUAUUUCUAAGUUUACUGAGCGAUGUAAACUGCUGUCAUCCACGUCACAUCAUUGCUCUAACCAACGUUACCUGAAGAAUCUUUUCAGCGUAGCAGAUAUUCACAAGCGUCUGGAGCCAACAUAAAAUGCUGAACUGGAUACUUACUGAAGAGUGAGUUUCAACACUUAAGGUUUGUACAAAGUUACACCAUAUCACUGAAAAUGGCACGCAUCAACAAGAUUUCAGAGACUCUGCGUGACAUUUUAAAUGUUUGUGAUCUUCAGGGUGUGCAUGAUUUCACCAUGAAACGCACCGUAGCCCUCCGUGCUCCUCGGUGUACCUGUGAGGAGGACCUACAAUUCUUCAAGACUUGAAAUAUAGGAGGCGUUGGGAGAACCAGACAUCACUGAUUCUGUCAUUGUGGUCAACGAAACGAAAGCACAAGUCCUUCAAGCACUGCAGUUGUGAUAGAAGAUGAUCUUCAGUUUUAUAAUAAAAGACUAAUCUUCAAAAAAAUCUUCAAUUGUACAGCUGGAGGUUUAUUUUAUUUUUUUAUUUUUUUAGGUUUUGUUGUUGUUUUUUUGUCUUUUGAGUUAGUUUUUUUAUGUAAUGAAGUCCUGCAGAGGUGCCUGGUCCUGUUCCUGGAGAUCCUCCUGCCUGCAGAGUUCAGCUAAGUUCUUCAGCUCAUUAUUUUGCUAAGUACAACAGCAAAACUUUUUCCAUUUACCAAUGUAUUUAAAACAUUAAGUUUGUCUAUACUUAUUCAAUUUUACACUCUGUGUAUAAGUAAAUACUACUGUAUAAUUUUUUUCGAAAUGUGGUAAACAUUUACAAUAAUUGUAUAACAACUGCUGUUAUUUGAUGUAAUAUAGUUUUGUAAUUGUUUUGUAAAUAAAAUGUUUUCAU